AAUUUUCUUACUUGUGUGUCGAAUCCUGCGAUAUAAAAAGGACAGAAUGCGGAUGCUGUGUCACCAGGAAUAGUAGAUGGCCAGCACAGGAUACCAUCCCAGACGACAGGACACCAUCCUGAAAAUCAAGCUCCCUUUCAACUGACUUUGAGAACUCGCCCAAGCAAUUUGCCACGCAACAUUGACAGCCCAUUAAGUCGUAGAGGUUAUGUGCGCGUGUAUUCUCACCUUCCCAUAUGUUCGUGACAAUGUCGAGGCAGCAAAGUGUGUCUAACCUGUGUUCAAGAAAUAACGAUACAUACAAAGAAUCAACCACUAAUCGAACAAUUCAUCCAAUAUUCCCAAACUCUCGUAAUUUCCUCAUGAAAUCAAUUUAUGUCUAUUAAAAAUUGUCAUUGCCCCUGUCCAGGAAUGAUUACUGACGC